GCCUUCUUAGCUUAGUGAUAGAGUGUGUGGCUUUUAAUCACAUGGUUGUGAGUUCGAUCUCUAUAGGUGGCG
rnacentral:tRNA from 1 species